rnacentral:rRNA from 1 species
GCCGGUGCCCAUGCUGAAGGGGCCACACCCGAUCCCAUCCCGAACUCGGAAGUUAAGCCCUUCAGGCCGAUGAUACUGAAUGGGAAAGUAGGUUAGCGCCGGCG